UGGGGAAUAUUGGACAAUGGGGGCAACCCUGAUCCAGCAAUGCCGCGUGUGUGAAGAAGGUCUUCGGAUUGUAAAGCACUUUCGACGGGGACGAUGAUGACGGUACCCGUAGAAGAAGCCCCGGCUAACUUCGUGCCAGCAGCCGCGGUAAUACGAAGGGGGCUAGCGUUGCUCGGAAUGACUGGGCGUAAAGGGCGUGUAGGCGGUUUACACAGUCAGAUGUGAAAUCCCCGGGCUUAACCUGGGAGCUGCAUUUGAUACGUGUAGACUAGAGUGUGAGAGAGGGUUUGUGGAAUUCCCAGUGUAGAGGUGAAAUUCGUAGAUAUUGGGAAGAACACCGGUGGCGAAGGCGGCAACCUGGCUCAUGACUGACGCUGAGGCGCGAAAGCGUGGGGAGCAAACAGGUUAGAUACCCUGGUAGUCCACGCUGUAAACGAUGUGUGCUAGAUGUUGGGUACUUUGG
rnacentral:rRNA from 1 species